rnacentral:rRNA from 1 species
GUGGGGAAUAUUGGACAAUGGGGGGAACCCUGAUCCAGCCAUGCCGCGUGUGUGAAGAAGGCCUUUUGGUUGUAAAGCACUUUAAGCGAGGAGGAGGCUACCGAGAUUAAUACUCUUGGAUAGUGGACGUUACUCGCAGAAUAAGCACCGGCUAACUCUGUGCCAGCAGCCGCGGUAAUACAGAGGGUGCAAGCGUUAAUCGGAUUUACUGGGCGUAAAGCGCGCGUAGGUGGCCAAUUAAGUCAAAUGUGAAAUCCCCGAGCUUAACUUGGGAAGUGCAUUCGAUACUGGUGGGCUAGAGUAUGGGAGAGGAUGGUAGAAUUCCAGGUGUAGCGGUGAAAUGCGUAGAGAUCUGGAGGAAUACCGAUGGCGAAGGCAGCCAUCUGGCCUAAUACUGACACUGAGGUGCGAAAGCAUGGGGAGCAAACAGGAUUAGAUACCCCAGUAGUCC